AUGACCAUAAUAAGAUUAUUACUUUCCAUUGCAGCCUCCUCUAAUUGGCAUAUUCACCAAUUGGACAUUAAUACUGUCUUUCUUCAUGGAGAUCUUGAAGAAGAGGUCUAUAUGAAACCUUCUCCUAGCAUGAAUAUUCAUGUCCACAUUGUCUACAAACUCAACAAGUCUAUUUAUGGAUUCAAACAGGUCACCCAUCAAUGGAACCACAAGCUAACAACUACUUUAUUUAACAUGGGUUACUGUCAUACCCUAGUUUGGCCCCAAGGUCAUUCAUUCAUUGCAUUUGCGUCAUCGGUUGGUCAUUCAUGUAUUUAG